UGGAAACGUUGCUAAGGAGGAAGGGCUCCUAAGACCCCACAGUUCUCUUUGAGGAUGUGUAGACAGUUAAUGGUUGCUGCAGUUGAGUUCUAUCCGAAAGCGCAGUGGGAGUGCUGGUGAGAACUAAGGCGUGCCACUCUGAGUCCAGUGUGCAAGAAACGAAGACGUUUAAAAUCACACUGUACUGAAGUGUAAUUUAAGGUGUGGGAUACCAGAGAUGUCCUGAAGAUUGGACUAGCCCCAAGGAAUCUGAGGACCCUAACCAGCAGGAAGUAGUUAAGGAAAACUACGGCACUUCUCCCCACUAACCUUUCUCUACCUGGAGUUGGGGUAUUGGAAAGGAUUGGGGUGGUAAAGGGAGGA